AAAGAAUCUAGCUUUCAAUUAUCCUCAGCAUCAAUACUUCAUUUUAACUUGAUUCAAAUUCAGUUGAUAUGCUAAAAUCAUUUAAGAACUACAAAGAUCAAUCUUAUGCACAAGGAAAGAACUGAAAAUUGAAUACUUUGAGUGAUGCACAUUGUAUCCAGUUCUAAUCAAAACAUUAUACUUGUACAUCUGAUCAAAUACUGUGUAUAUGUUUAAAUCUCAAAUUUUGCAUAUACUCAGUGUUUUGUCAUCAUCAAAAAGGGGGAGAUUGUUGACCCCCUAAUAGAUUUUGAUGAAUACAAAACACUAGAGUAAAAUUCCAUUAUAUCUUAACAAUUUAAUUGAGAAUUUCAUGUGUUUUAUUAAGAAUAUUGUUAAGAAAUGUCUAGGCAAGUUCCCAUAAUUUUUAUAGAUUUAUUGAAGAAUUUUUGAGAUGAAGAAAACAGAUCAGGGACAGCCGAGACGUCUCCUGAUGGUCUCAGAGACGUCUCU
rnacentral:lncRNA from 1 species